GCUUCCUACGGGAGGCAGCAGUGGGGAAUUUUGGACAAUGGGCGCAAGCCUGAUCCAGCAAUGCCGCGUGAGUGAAGAAGGCCUUCGGGUUGUAAAGCUCUUUUGUCAGGGAAGAAACGGCUGAGGAUAAUACCUUUGGCUAAUGACGGUACCUGAAGAAUAAGCACCGGCUAACUACGUGCCAGCAGCCGCGGUAAUACGUAGGGUGCAAGCGUUAAUCGGAAUUACUGGGCGUAAAGCGUGCGCAGGCGGUUUUGUAAGUCUGACGUGAAAUCCCCGGGCUCAACCUGGGAAUUGCGUUGGAGACUGCAAGGCUGGAGUCUGGCAGAGGGGGGUAGAAUUCCACGUGUAGCAGUGAAAUGCGUAGAGAUGUGGAGGAACACCGAUGGCGAAGGCAGCCCCCUGGGUCAAGACUGACGCUCAUGCACGAAGGCGUGGGGAGCAAACAGGAUUAGAUACCCUGGUAGUCCACGCCCUAAACGAUGUCUACUAGUUGUCGGGUCUUAAUUGACUUGGUAACGCAGCUAACGCGUGAAGUAGACCGCCUGGGGAGUACGGUCGCAAGAUUAAAACUCAAAGGAAUUGACGGAAGC
rnacentral:rRNA from 1 species